GACGAACGCUGGCGGCGUGCUUAACACAUGCAAGUCGAACGGAAAGGCCCUGCUUUUGUGGGGUGCUCGAGUGGCGAACGGGUGAGUAACACGUGAGUAACCUGCCCUUGACUUUGGGAUAACUUCAGGAAACUGGGGCUAAUACCGGAUAGGAGCUCCUGCUGCAUGGUGGGGGUUGGAAAGUUUCGGCGGUUGGGGAUGGACUCGCGGCUUAUCAGCUUGUUGGUGGGGUAGUGGCUUACCAAGGCUUUGACGGGUAGCCGGCCUGAGAGGGUGACCGGCCUCAUUGGGCCGUAGAUACGGCCCAGACUCCUACGGGAGACAGCAGUGGGGAAUAGUGCACAAUGGGCGGAAGCCUGAUGCAGCAACGCCGCGUGCGGGAUGACGGCCUUCGGGUUGUAAACCGCUUUCGCCUGUGACGAAGCGUGAGUGACGGUAAUGGGUAAAGAAGCACCGGCUAACUACGUG
rnacentral:rRNA from 1 species